GGCUCGGUAGCUUAGUUGGAAAAGCACUUGUCUAGCGUCCCUUAGUGAGUUCAAAUCUCACCUGAGCUG
rnacentral:tRNA from 1 species